AGUGGUUUGGAGCUAUAUGUCUCUGAGUUAAGAAGUAAAUGGAACUCGAAUCUCAAAGCUGUCUGUCAGUGAGAAAAGGCAAUGACCACAAAAGGGGAGGAAAAUCUUAAACUCCACUGAAGUCAUUAGAAAUGAUGACUUGGCACCACUCUACACAUAACAUUGCAGGUGGAACUGCUGGGACAAAAACGGAGCCAGAUUGUGAAUCUCAC
rnacentral:lncRNA from 1 species